GAUGAAGAACGUAGCGAAAUGCGAUAAGUAAUGUGAAUUGCAGAAUUCAGUGAAUCAUCGAAUCUUUGAACACACCUUGCACCCUUUGGUAUUCCGAAGGGUAUGCUCGUUUGAGUGUCAUUGUACUCUCACACUUCUAAUUCCUUUCGGGAUUGGGAGCGGUGGACUUGGGUGUUGCUGCUUUAGUUGUGGCUCACCUCAAAUAAGUUAGUGCAACUCUUGGUUGGACAUAGUACGGCGUGAUAAGUGUCUUCGCCGGCGCCUCUGUAAGGAGGGUGGCCGAUCGGGAGCUCUGUGCUUCAAACCGUCUUCGGACAAUCUUUGACAACUUGACCUCAAAUCGAGUAGGACUACCCGCUGAACUUAAGCAUAUCAAUAAGCGGAGGA
rnacentral:misc_RNA from 1 species